GACGAACGCUGGCGGCGUGCCUAAUACAUGCAAGUCGAACGAGUGGCGGACGGGUGAGAAAUGUCUGGGAAACUGCCCGAUGGAUGGGGAUAACUACUGGAAACGGUAGCUAAUACCGCCUACCCUGCGAUGUGCCCAGAUGGGAUUAGGUUGUUGGUGGGGUAGCGGUUCACCAAGGCGACGAUCCGUAGCUGGUCUGAGAGGAUGACCAGCCACACUGGAACGGAGACACGGUCCAGACUCCUACGGUAGGCAGCAGUGGGGAAUAUUGGACAAUGGGCGCAAGCCUGAUGCAGCCAUGCCGCGUGGAUGAAGAAGGCCUUCGGGUUGUAAAGUACGUUCAGCGGGGAGGCGUUACCCGCAGAAGAAGCACCGGCUAACUACGUGCCAGCAGCCGCGGUAAUUC
rnacentral:rRNA from 1 species